AUUAAAAUGCCUUUUGCUGUGUGGUUUCUAUCAUGCCUUUCUGUUUUGGGGGAAGAUCCGCAACACGUUCCAUGGCAUGGUUCCCUGGACAAUGGACCACGGGGGUUUGGACUGCAGGUGGCUACCUUAUUGGUGCACAUGGGAUCGUUGCUUGGUGGCAUUAUUCGUCAUUGAUGCUGUUGGAACGUUGCGCAUGAAUCCUCCAUGCUUCCGAGUGCGACCAUCCGCUAAGACGGACGAACGAAGACGAGGACAAUCCAGGUCCAUCGCAAGGCCAGGCCAGAAGCAUACGCCGUAUAGUUAGCAUAAUUGAGCGACAUGUCCAUUCCGCUGAAUCAUCACCUCUUCAAGGAAAUCCACGUCGUGUCAACACCAUAGCCACCGCAGCCUGUACACCACAGCUCUUCGAGAACUUCGUGCAGGAACCAUGGACUUUGAACUCUACCGGACUGAACUGGACUAGACUGGAUCGAACUCGUCAUUCAUCAACUAUAUUGUUGAACAAUAUUUUGUUACAAUCUCCCUUCUGUGCAACAAAUGUUGAUGAAAUUGCAAUUGUA